rnacentral:rRNA from 1 species
GACGAACGCUGACGGCGUGCUUAACACAUGCAAGUCGAAGGGAGUGGCGAACGGGUGAGUAACACGUGAGUAACCUGCCCUUUUCUUUGGGAUAAGCCUGGGAAACUGGGUCUAAUACUGGAUGGAUUGGGAUGGGCUCGGGGCUUAUCAGCUUGUUGGUGGGGUGAUGGCUUACCAAGGCUUUGACGGGUAGCCGGCCGGAGAGGGUGCACGGGAACGCUGGGACGGAGCUACGGCCCAGGCUACUACGGGGGGCGGCAGUGGGGACUAUUGCAGAAGGGACGAAAGUCUGAUGCAGCGACGUCGUGUGGGGGAUGAGGGCCUUCGGGUUGUAAACUCCUUUCGCCAGCGGAAUGGUAGUGGGUAAAGAAGCGCCGGCUAACUACGUGCCAGCAGCCGCGGUAAUUC